rnacentral:rRNA from 1 species
GCGUGGGUGAUGAAGGCCUUCGGGUUGUAAAGCCCUUUUGGCAGGGACGAUGAUGACGGUACCUGCAGAAUAAGCCCCGGCUAACUUCGUGCCAGCAGCCGCGGUAAUACGAAGGGGGCUAGCGUUGUUCGGAAUUACUGGGCGUAAAGGGCGCGUAGGCGGUUUCGCUAGUCAGGCGUGAAAUCCCCAGGCUUAACCUGGGAAUUGCGCUUGAUACUUCGAGACUUGAGUGAGGGAGAGGAUAGUGGAAUUCCCAGUGUAGAGGUGAAAUUCGU